GUAUCCUUACCUGAAUACAUAGGGUAAGGAGGCGAACCGGGGGAACUGAAACAUCUAAGUACCCCGAGGAAAAGAAAUCAACCGAGAUUCCGAAAGUAGCGGCGAGCGAAAUUGGACUAGCCCUUAAGCUUUACACGCGUUAGACGAACGGUCUGGAAAGUCCGACGAUACAGGGUGAUAGUCCCGUAGUUGACGACGUGUGUUCAGUGAAAUCGAGUAGGGCGGGACACGUGAUAUCCUGUCUGAAUAUGGGGGGACCAUCCUCCA
rnacentral:rRNA from 1 species